GCAUGGUCUCAUAUGUCCGGGACGAGGACAAAGAUGGGAGCUACCAGGAGAUAGAAGAAGAGGUGAACGUAGACGACAUCGCCCCUCUUGUAGCUGUCUACUCUGUCAUGCUCACGGCUGUGGCGGUUGUGGUGGCAGCAGUUGCUAUUCUUGUCUGCAAGGACGUAAAAGAUGGUCACAGCAGAAG